GAUUUCUUUCGCCCCGCAUGAAUCCAUUGAUUUUUAGCAAUCCAGAUAGCCCAAAUUGCACAAACAAAAAUUCGACUUACAUCCGCCCUACUGUUUAGCAAGACCAGAAAAUCAUCAUGAGGACAAUUAGCCAGUGGAAUUCGUAAAAUCUUUCGUGUAUCACCUUCAGAAAAGCAAACCUUCAGCAUCCAGGGCCCAAACAUCUUCCUCGAUUUUAAUGUCACGGCCAACUUCCACCCUCCAACAAAGUCCAGACAGUAACCUAUAUACUUUUCCAAGUAUAUAAAGGUAUAUUCCCUAACUCUAAAUUUAAGAAAUCAGAAUUUGGAUGAUAUUUAGCUCUCAAAGUUCGGGCUAGGAGAGAAUUAGGAUGGUCAAUUAAUCUUCAGCCUUACUUCGCGAGAAUGGCCAAAUUAAAUUUUGCUAAGUAGCAAUAACCGAGACCACCACUCUCUUUUAACUCACACAAUCUUUUCCAUUCACACCAGUGAAUACCACGUCUCUCAUGACCCUUUUGCCACAAAAAAAUUGCUAUUAUUUGCUACAUCUCUUCGCAUGUCGAUUUCGGCAAUAAAAAACAUGCCAUUGUAU